rnacentral:rRNA from 1 species
GGAAUCUUGGACAAUGGGGGCAACCCUGAUCCAGCCAUGCCGCGUGAACGAUGAAGGCCCUAGGGUUGUAAAGUUCUUUCAGCGGGGAAGAUAAUGACGGUACCCGCAGACGAAGCCCCGGCUAACUCCGUGACAGCAGCCGCGGUAAUACGGAGGGGGCUAGCGUUGUUCGGAAUUACUGGGCGUAAAGCGCACGUAGGCGGAUCAGUCAGUUAGGGGUGAAAUCCCAGGGCUCAACCCUGGAACUGCCUUUAAUACUGCUGGUCUGGAGGUCGAGAGGGGUGAGUGGAAUUCCGAGUGUAGAGGUGAAAUUCGUAGAUAUUCGGAGGAACACCAGUGGCGAAGGCGGCUCACUGGCUCGAUACUGACGCUGAGGUGCGAAAGCGUGGGGAGCAAAC